GAGAAGAACGUAGCGAAAUGCGAUAAGUAAUGUGAAUUGCAGAAUUCAGUGAAUCAUCGAAUCUUUGAACGCACAUUGCGCCCCUUGGUAUUCUGAGGGGCAUGCCUGUUCGAGCGUCAUUAUAACCCCUCAAGCUCAGCUUGGUGUUGGGGCCUGCUGCACUGGCAGCCCUUAAAAUCAGUGGCGGCGCCAUCUGGCUCUAAGCGUAGUAAUUCUUCUCGCUAUGGAGUCCUGGUGGAUGCUUGCCAUCAACCCCCAAUUUUUCUAUGGUUGACCUCGGAUCAGGUAGGGAUACCCGCUGAACUUAAGCAUAUCAAUAAGCGGAGGA
rnacentral:misc_RNA from 1 species